UGUAAAUUUAAGUUAUGGAACUCCCGAACGUGCUUCUGAUAUAGGGAAAAGUCCUCAAUGAAACGGAAAUUGAAUGUGGCGAAUGGACAUUUGCAUCUUGUGGCCAUCAAUUCCCCAGAUCGAUCGUCACGGCAGCGAACUCAUGGCGGACUCCGUGGAGACGUUCCAGACACACCUCACCUCUGUCAUGGACAGUUUGAUCCGAGCGUCGGUGUGCGAGAUCACCAAACUGUUCCAGGACACGGUGAACGACUUUCUGGUGGAAAUAUCUCUGAAUAGGAAUGAAAUGGAGGCUCUGAAACUCCGACUCCGACUGACCGAGAACAAACUGAGAAAUGAACGCAAGUACGGGAUGGGGUGGGCAGAGAAUCGCCGCAAUGCUGGUUUGAUAGGGUCGGAGGACGGUGGGCGGAAAAAGCGAAAAAUGGAAGUGCCCCGUAAGUGUUCAUAUUUAGUAAGUACAGCCACAAAAGCAUCACGGACCAUAUAGUCGUUUUUUACACAUUUGUCUUGCCCUAUGUAUAAAACUAAAAUAAAAAAUGGUAUUCUUCAUAUUAUAAUUGUUGAAAUGAUAUGUAAUUGCAUAUCAAAUUAACAAGUUGAUUACUUGUGUAACAUUAAGUCAAAAGCCUGUAAUGCU
rnacentral:lncRNA from 1 species